CCUACGGGGGGCAGCAGUGAGGAAUAUUGGUCAAUGGACGCAAGUCUGAACCAGCCAUGCCGCGUGCAGGAAGACGGCUCUAUGAGUUGUAAACUGCUUUUGUACGAGGGUAAACGCAGAUACGCGUAUCUGUCUGAAAGUAACCUACGAAUAAGGAUCGGCUAAAUCCGGUCCAGCCGCCGGGGUAAUACGGAGGAUUCAAGAGUUAUCCGGAUUUAUUGGGGUUAAAGGGGGGGUAGGCGGUCGGAUAAGUUAGAGUUGAAAUCCCGAGGCGCAACUAUGGAAUUGCCUGUGAUACUGUUCGGCUAGAGAGUAGUUGCGGUAGGCGGAAUGUAUGGUGUAGCGGUAAAAUGCUUAGAGAUCA
rnacentral:rRNA from 1 species